rnacentral:rRNA from 1 species
UACGGAGGGGGCAAGCGUUGUUCGGAAUUACUGGGCGUAAAGGGCGCGUAGGCGGCCUGUUAAGUCGAACGUGAAAGCCCCGGGCUCAACCCGGGAACUGCGUCCGAUACUGGCAGGCUUGAAUCCGGGAGAGGGAUGCGGAAUUCCAGGUGUAGCGGUGAAAUGCGUAGAUAUCAGGAGGAAUACCGAUGGCGAAGGCAGGUCUCUGGGCUGACACUGACGCUCAUGCGCGAAAGCGUGGGGAGCGAACAGG